rnacentral:piRNA from 1 species
UAAUCCGAAUUUUUUUUCAUU